rnacentral:lncRNA from 13 species
AUGUGCAUGGGUGGUUUCCAAGCGGUCCUGCAGCCACAUAACUUCCCCUGUACUACCGCAGCAUAUGAGGCUUCUCUAGCACCGAGCUCUUGCAACACUUGUCAUUUCUCCAGUGCUGGGCUCCUUCGAUGCACAUUGGCCAUCAUCACCCAGUGGUCAGCAGCUCCUUGCAGAACCUCUCCUGGGGGAGUUUGUGGACUCAGACUGCUAAACCAUUUGCAUGAGAGAACUACACACCAUUUGAAAAAACAGCUUUUUUUUGCAAGGUGCCAUGGCUCACUCCUGUAAUCCUGGCAACUUGGAAGGCUGAGGCAGCAGGACUACUUGAGGCCAGGAGGAAGGAAGAUCCUUACCAGAUACCAGCACCAUGCUGUUGGACUUCUCAUUCUCCAGAGCUGUGAAUCAAGUAAACUUGUUUUCUUUACAAAUUUCUUAGUCUGUGGUAUUCUGACAAACUAAACACAUGCAAAGUGUUGCCAACCUGGGAAUCUCACCAGAACCAUAAUGUCCAGGAUUUCUAUUGGAAAUCAGUCGUGUAUGCAUGCAGUAUCGGAGUGACCAACCACAGAUACUCACUUAGACUAUCACAAACCAGAACAAAAAGGGGCAUUUACCAUAAAUCUCAGUUUUAGGAUGAAUUAUCUCAUCAAACUGGUACUGUGUUGUUAAAUGCCUCAGAUAUACAAAAAUGUCUUUUAUUAGGAAGAGUAUUUCCAGGGAUCAGAGUUCAUAUCCCAGGAUUUGGCCCAGGGCCAGUCUUGAAAAGAUUUUUGAAAAUGUCCAGGGUUAGAGCAAGGCAGGCCUGCAUAUCACAUUUGUACAAUAGUUUUCCUGCACCACUACAAUUGCUAUCAUUGCAAUAAUCUUAC